rnacentral:rRNA from 1 species
CCUACGGGGUGCUGCAGUGAGGAAUAUUGGUCAAUGGGCGAGAGCCUGAACCAGCCAAGUCGCGUGAGGGAGUACUGCCCUAUGGGUUGUAAACCUCUUUUGUCGGGGAGCAAAAGCCGGACGUGUCCGGCUGUGAGAGUACCCGAAGAAAAAGCAUCGGCUAACUCCGUGCCAGCAGCCGCGGUAAUACGGAGGAUGCGAGCGUUAUCCGGAUUUAUUGGGUUUAAAGGGUGCGCAGGCGGGUUUUUAAGUCAGCGGUAAAAUCGUGGGGCUCAACCCCAUCCAGCCGUUGAAACUGGGGAUCUAGAGUGUGCGAGAGGUAUGCGGAAUGCGUGGUGUAGCGGUGAAAUGCAUAGAUAUCACGCAGAACCCCGAUUGCGAAGGCAGCAUACCGGUGCACAACUGACGCUCAGGCACGAAAGCGUGGGUAUCGAACAGGAUUAGAUACCCUUGUAGUC